rnacentral:rRNA from 1 species
AUUGAACGCUGGCGGAAUGCUUUACACAUGCAAGUCGAACGGCAGCACGGACUUCGGUCUGGUGGCGAGUGGCGAACGGGUGAGUAAUGUAUCGGAACGUGCCCAGUCGUGGGGGAUAACGUAGUGAAAAUUACGCUAAUACCGCAUACGAUCUAUGGAUGAAAGCGGGGGAUCGCAAGACCUCGCGCGAUUGGAGCGGCCGAUAUCAGAUUAGGUAGUUGGUGGGGUAAAGGCCCACCAAGCCAACGAUCUGUAGCUGGUCUGAGAGGACGACAAGCCACACCUGACCUGUGAACCGGGCCAGACUCCUACGGGAGGCAGCAGUGGGGAAUUUUGGACAAUGCGCGAAAGCCUGAUCCAGCCAUUCCGCGGUCAGGAUGAAGGCCCUCGGGUUGUAAACUGCUUUUGUACAGAACGAAAAGGUUUCUACUAAUACUAGGAGCUCAUGACGGUACUGUAAGAAUAAGCACCGGCUAACUACGUGCCAGCCGCCGCGGUAA